rnacentral:rRNA from 1 species
GACGAACGCUGGCGGCGUGCCUAAUACAUGCAAGUCGAACGGACAGGCGCUGCGUUUGUUGGUUGCACGAUUGGCGAACGGGUGUGUAACACGUGAGUAACCUCCCCCUGACUUACGGAUAACAUCUGGAAACUGCGGCUAAUACCGGAUAGGAUCUCCUGCUGCAUGUUGUUGGAUGGUAAGUUACGGCGGUUGGGGAUGGACUCGCUGCUUAUCAGCUUGUUUGUGAGGUAGUGGCUUACCAAGGUUACGACGGGUAGCCCGCCUGAGAGGGUUAACGGCGACAAUGGGCCUGAGGGAGGGAGCAGAAGGGAACGGUAGGCAGCAGUGGAAAGCAUGGCGCAGUAGGGCCACGCCAGAGACAAAGACGCCGGGUGCGGAAUGCCCGCCUUCGGGGUAUAAACAGCUUUGGAAGGUAACGAAGAGUGAGUGACGGUAAUUGAUCAGGAAGCAACGGCUAACUACGUG